AAAGGCCUUGGAUGCAAAUCAGUUUGAAGUCCUGAGAGGAAAAUGAGGGAUUUGCAUUUAUGAAGACUUGUAGCAAUUAAUAUGGAGUGAAAAAAUUAAGCAAAUUAGUGUCUAUGUGGCUAAAAUAAAGCGCCCCCAUUAUGGUAAAUCAUCACCUAGUUUUGGAAAUACCAUCUAUUACAUCUUCACACGCUACCCCCGUAACCUCAC
rnacentral:lncRNA from 1 species